ACACGCUGGCGGCGUGCCUAAUACAUUGCAAGGUUUGAACGACAACAAAAGACCACCAGAGCUUGCUCUACCGUCUUUGUUGAGUAGCGAACGGGUGAGUAACGCGUGGGUAACCUGCCUUAUAGCGGGGGAUAACUAUUGGAAACGAUAGCUAAUACCGCAUAACAAUAGAGUAUUGCAUAAUCUUUAUUUGAAAGUGCCAACUGGUACACUAUGAGAUGGACCCGCGUUGUAUUAGCUAGUUGGUAGUGUAAUGGACUACCAAGGCGAUGAUACAUAGCCGACCUGAGAGGGUGAUCGGCCACAUUGGGACUGAGACACGGCCCAAACUCCUACGGGAGGCAGCAGUAGGGAAUCUUCGGCAAUGGACGAAAGUCUGACCGAGCAACGCCGCGUGAGUGAAGAAGGUUUUCGGAUCGUAAAACUCUGUUGUUAGAGAAGAAUGUUGAUUAGAGUGGAAAAUUAAUCAAGUGACGGUAUCUAACCAGAAAGGGACGGCUAACUACGUG
rnacentral:rRNA from 1 species